rnacentral:misc_RNA from 1 species
GAUGAAGAACGUAGCGAAAUGCGAUAAGUAGUGUGAAUUGCAGAAUUCAGUGAAUCAUCGAAUCUUUGAACGCACAUUGCGCCCUUUGGUAUUCCAAAGGGCAUGCCUGUUCGAGCGUCAUUUGUACCCUCAAGCUUUGCUUGGUGUUGGGCGUCUUGUCUCUAGCUUUGCUGGAGACUCGCCUUAAAGUAAUUGGCAGCCGGCCUACUGGUUUCGGAGCGCAGCACAAGUCGCACUCUCUAUCAGCAAAGGUCUAGCAUCCAUUAAGCCUUUUUUUCAACUUUUGACCUCGGAUCAGGUAGGGAUACCCGCUGAACUUAAGCAUAUCAAUAAGCGGAGAA